AGGCCAGCCUGGUCUACAGAGUGAGUUCCAGGAAAGCCAGGGCUACACAGAGAAACCCUGUCUCGAGAAAAAAAAAAAAAAAAAAAAAAAAAAGACUUUAAAUAAAAUUGAACUCUGUGUUUGGACUUCGUAGAAUAUUAAACAAAGAUCUCAUGGAACCAGAGAGAAAUCCCCCUGAGAACUGGGCUUGGGCUCUGUAGAGAUGCCCUUUAGGACUGAAGGCUUCUAGGUACCAGAAAGACCAAGACGGGUCUGGGUCUGUUUUCAAAAGUGCCUUUGGUGAGAUCUGGGCAGGAGCGUGGAGGAGGAGGGUCUCGUCCAGGACAGGGUGAGCCCGUCCUCAGGUGGAGAGAGAGCAGCAGCACUCAUCCCUCGGCACCGAAGGGUGCCCUGUGACAGCCCCGGGACAGAGGGAAAGUGGCGUGGCCUCGUCAGCAUCCGAGUGUCCUGCGUGAGUGUCACCGCCCUGGGCACAGAGCACCGUGCGUCCAUGCGGGGGAGGCAAUGGGGCUGUCAUGUAAGGGGAACUAAGGAGGACAGGUACAGCUCUGCAUCCCUUGGCGCCCCGGCUUGGCUUUGGGGUGUGAAAAAACGCUGCCUCCCGGCCUCUCUGGUCUCUGUCCUGCAGCGUUUCCUGGCUGCUCACCUCUGGGAAACAGACUGUGAGCUCACCUCCACACUCACUGGGGAAGUCGGGAGAGGUAACCUCUCCUGGUGAGCGGGACAGGGAUCCCAGGGAGGCCCAGGAACCAGGCAAGAGCGACUGGUGAGAGCCGGGUGGGCACUGAUGCUAUGACCAGGACCAGAAGUGUGGCUGGAGAGCAAGUGCAGGCUGGUUCCUUCCCUGUCCCUCCCCACGUGUGACCAGCAAUGUAACCCACUCCACGGAGUGUUAGCAGCACCAUGGAGACACAGCUGGAGAGAUCUCCGCGGUUAAAGGGCACUUGCCCUUCCAGAGGAGGUGGAUUCGGUGCCCAGCACCCACAUGGCUGCUCACACCAUCUGUGACUCCAGUUCCAGGCGAUCCAACGCCCUCUUCUGGCCUCAGCAGGCACUGCACACACAAGGCACACAGACCUGUAUAGAAGUAAAACCCAUAAAAUAAAA